UGGGGUGUAGUUCAGUGGGAGAGCACUUGCCUAGCAUGCCUGAGGUCCUGGGUUCAAGCCCCAGCAUGACAA
rnacentral:tRNA from 1 species